CGGCCUUGAAAUACCACCCUUUAAUGUUUGAUGUUCUAACGUGGACCCGUGAUCCGGGUUGCGGACAGUGUCUGGUGGGUAGUUUGACUGGGGCGGUCUCCUCCUAAAGAGUAACGGAGGAGCACGAAGGUUGGCUAAUCCUGGUCGGACAUCAGGAGGUUAGUGCAAUGGCAUAAGCCAGCUUGACUGCGAGCGUGACGGCGCGAGCAGGUGCGAAAGCAGGUCAUAGUGAUCCGGUGGUUCUGAAUGGAAGGGCCAUCGCUCAACGGAUAAAAGGUACUCCGGGGAUAACAGGCUGAUACCGCCCAAGAGUUCAUAUCGACGGCGGUGUUUGGCACCUCGAUGUCGGCUCAUCACAUCCUGGGGCUGAAGUAGGUCCCAAGGGUAUGGCUGUUCGCCAUUUAAAGUGGUACGCGAGCUGGGUUUAGAACGUCGUGAGACAGUUCGGUCCCUAUCUGCCGUGGGCGCUGGAGAACUGAGGGGGGCUGCUCCUAGUACG
rnacentral:rRNA from 1 species